CUCCGGGAAACCGGGGCUAAUACCGGAUAACAUUUUGAACUGCAUGGUUCGAAAUUGAAAGGCGGCUUCGGCUGUCACUUAUGGAUGGACCCGCGUCGCAUUAGCUAGUUGGUGAGGUAACGGCUCACCAAGGCAACGAUGCGUAACCGACCUGAGAGGGUGAUCGGCCACACUGGGACUGAGACACGGCCCAGACUCCUACGGGAGGCAGCAGUAGGGAAUCUUCCGCAAUGGACGAAAGUCUGACGGAGCAACGCCGCGUGAGUGAUGAAGGCUUUCGGGUCGUAAAACUCUGUUGUUAGGGAAGAACAAGUGCUAGUUGAAUAAGCUGGCACCUUGACGGUACCUAACCAGAAAGCCACGGCUAACUACGUGCCAGCAGCCGCGGUAAUACGUAGGUGGCAAGCGUUAUCCGGAAUUAUUGGGCGUAAAGCGCGCGCAGGUGGUUUCUUAAGUCUGAUGUGAAAGCCCACGGCUCAACCGUGGAGGGUCAUUGGAAACUGGGAGACUUGAGUGCAGAAGAGGAAAGUGGAAUUCCAUGUGUAGCGGUGAAAUGCGUAGAGAUAUGGAGGAACACCAGUGGCGAAGGCGACUUUCUGGUCUGUAACUGACACUGAGGCGCGAAAGCGAGGGGAGCAAACAGGAUUAGAUACCCUGGUAGUCCACG
rnacentral:rRNA from 1 species